rnacentral:tRNA from 1 species
AGGGGGCGGAUGUAGCCAAGUGGUUAAGGCAGUGGAUUUGUGAAUCCACCAUGCGCGA